CUAUUACUGUGCCAGCUCAGAAUCCAGAAAGCAAAUCAACGCACAGAGGAGGCAUAGCGACUUCUAACCUGACUCAACACAGCCUCCCUGCAUCUGCUGUUUUGCAGCCCACUAAGAUGGAAUCACAGUGAGCAGCAGCCAGACACAGGCCCACAUGGCGGAACUAGUGAAUGAGCGAAUUACAAAGUGAGACUUCAUCUAUGUUUUCAAGUAAAGUCCAGCAUUUCAUUUACACAAAGUCUAUGAGAAUAUGUCAGUAGAGAUCAUCUAAUCUUAAAUCGUGACAUCCUCCCUUCAAGUCCUUGGCACAAUCCCAGUAUUGGUAUAGUCUAAGUGUCCCAGGAAGAAUGAAGAGAUUCUUGGCCACGUAUUUUGUUAACGACUAUCUCUUCUACGUGACUUUCUGUUGUAGAGGAUGUAUGUACAACUUCAUUCAUAGAAAACUAGUAAAGGAUGGUGGUUUUCCCUGCAUUAUCCAGCCUAACAAUAACUCUGUACUCCUGGCGAUUAAACAGUCUCCAUAUCCUUUGAAGAGAAUUCCCAUUCUCAGACAGCGGACCCACCUCCAGCCAUCUAGGCCGCCUAGCUUCCCUCCGCUCAGGCUAAGAGGGAGGAGAGCGAAGGGCCAGAACCUCCGUCUCUGCUGCUGCUGCUCCCACACUUCUGUCUGCUUCCUGGGAGCUGGAGGGAAGGGGAAGCCUCAGGCCAGGCCCCACCGCUGUCCCCUCAGCACUGGCCUGGCUCCCGUACAUUGCACCUGCAUUGCUUCCUUUGAGCCUCAUGGGCCACCGUCCUCCCCUUACCACAGCUGAUUUUUGACAAGGCUGCCAAGUCCACGCAAUUGGGAAAUGGUCUCCUCAACCAACAAUGCUGGGAGAACUGGCUAUCCAUAUGCAAAAGAAUGAAAGAGGAACCCUAUCUUACGCUUCAUACAAAAAUUAACUCAAAAUGGAUCAAAGACCUAAACGUAAGAACCAGGACAAUAAACUAGAAGAAAACGUAGGAAAGCACCUUCAGGACCUCUAUUAGGCAGCGGUUUCUUAGACUUUACACACAAAGCACAAACAAUAAGAAAAAAAAAUUAGAUAAAUGGGACCUCAUCACAAUGAAAAACUUUAUCACAUCAAGGACUUUAUGACAAAAAUGAAAUGACAACCCCCUCAAUGGGAGAAAAUAUUUUGAAGCCACAUAUCCGAUAAGGGUUUAAUAUACAGGAUAUAUAAAGAAUU